UUUCAAAAUGGUGUAAACAAAAUUUAAAUAAGUUAUUGAAGAUGUUUUUUUCUAAAUUACUUCAAAUAGCAAAUAUAUAUUUAUAAAGAAAACGGGAAUUUAAAAGAAAAAAUAACAGGCUUUAAAAUGCUAGGCAGAAAAAGAAAAUGUUCCACCCAUUUUGUAGAUGAGGAAAGUUAUAAUUCUCUCAAAGUUAGUGGACAGAAAAGGGUAUGCAUCACAGCUCUAAGUAAAGAAGAAGUCUCCAUUAAUAAUAACCAUGUUCAGCCUAUGGUGAUAUCAGUGCCUGAAAAUACUGUCUCAACAUUCUCAUUUCAACACACACAUAAUGGUGAUCCUGUGUUACCCCUUCCAUCAACAAACAUUACAUCUUGUCUACAAUGUCAAGCUGGACAAUCAGGUCAUAUAAAUCAUAUUCUACACUCAUAAAGACUACCAUAAAUAUAUAAUACCAUUGUAGUAUAGAAAAGGGCCAUGACAGAAGUAAAAUCUAUAUAUAAAAAAGAUGGUUUGAUUUACCCCUGAACAUUUAAAUCAGAAGUCACAAAAUCAUGACAUGAUGUUAUAAAGCAACAAAGGAUAUAAUUUAUGUAAUCAUGCAGUGAAAACUAUCUUAUAUUAGUGGUGUAAGUUUUAAGUCUUUCUUACAUAGUGUAGUAUUCAUUUAUGUUAUUACACUGAUGUUUUUAUAAUAAAGGCAGCCUAGUCGGGUAGCUGAGAUUUCUUUAGAACAAUCCAAGAUAUUAAGAUAUUCAAGCCAAAUGCCAAGAUGUAAAGAAGUAGUCCAAGUAACAUAUUGAUCUUGUUGGUGAACAUUUACCCAUUACUAAGUGGAAUAUUUUACUUUGAUAGUAAUAUUUUGUCUGUUAACUUAUUGUGUGAAUCUGAUAAACACCACUAUCAGAUAUUAUCUAAACACAAAUGUAGAAUGGGGUGGGAAAACUCAUUGACAUCGCACAUGUAAACUGAUCAUUUGUAUUUGAAAAACUAAAAUCUGGUAAAAUCACAAAUGAAAACUGACCAUUUGUUUUUGAAAAACUGAAAAGAAUUUGUGGUAGAAUUAAUGGGCAACACAAAAGUUGUCUGUAGAUUUGACAGUUGGAAUAUAAAAAGCUUUAAGUGGUUGAAAACAAAGAUUUAAACAAGAACAAAUCUAAGCAAUUAAUGGACCAAAACAAAGAUUCAUGGUCAUAAUAUAUAGGUGAAGAAGCCCAGAGUUAUUCAGUUCUUUCACUUAAGUAUUUAAUAAUAUUUAACUUAAUUUUGUUUCAAAAUUAUCAUUACUGCAUAUUGAUAGGAAACAUUACUUGGAUGUGUACUGUAAAUGAAGCAAAAGUCUCCUAGAAAUCACAGCCACCCCUAUAUUAUUAUUUGUCAUAUUGACAUUGUGUAAUUUUUUUUUAUAUAGUGUGUAUAUAUAUACAUCUACAUUUAAUUAGUAUCAUACAACUACAAGUGUAGGUUACAUUGUAAAUAUCAUUGUAGUUUGUAUACUUUUACCUACAUUGUAAUGUGGUCAUACAUUAGUACAGGUUUGUCUAGUUAACACCAUCCUCGAUAUCCCUAUUGGUCUCAUUCUAUUCUACUACACUAACCCCUGGGUUAAUCUAGGGGCGGGGUGGAGGACACGUUUUCAAGUUAUCCGUCAUUGAUAAUUGUGCUAUUUUUAUCGACCAAUCCCAUAAAUCGUCAAUUGCAAAGGAAGUUGACAAAGGGAAGUAACUCUCGGGAUAAGGUUAGGAGUUAGCCAGAAGGUAGCCUAAAUGAGAGAAGUCCAGAUUAUUCUAAAUGCGUAUUUAUUUACAACAAAUUAUGUAAUAUUAUAUGAAUGAAGACCGGAUGAUUACAUAUAUGUAGGUUCAAGAGUUUUAUUGAGAAUAGUUCUUUCAUUCCCGGAUUGUUACGUCCACGUGAUAUCGUAGACGUGUUUUUGUUACGGCAAGUUCACACCAAUCUGAUUAAAAUCUACUACUACUACCUGGUGCUUUAACGUCUACUUCCACAGAAGUGAUAUCGCAGACAUAGAUGUUAUACAUAAUUGAAAUCCGCGAAACAUACUACAGAUUUUGAUAAUACAAUUAAAUAUAAAUGAAUUAGAAAUAUAUACAUUAUUUACAUAAAUCAUUCACUAAAUGGACAUGAAUAUGGUUCUCUACCCUUAUAAAAAACGAACGCGAAACGACUGGUUUGUAAACUGUUUUUUGAUUGGUUCGUAGACUUUGGCAGAUAAUCUGAAAUCGUGGAAACCUUAUAGAUUAACUCAGGGUAUAGUGGAGCAGAACGGAAUGAAACCACUGGGGAUACCGAGGAUGGUUAACACCAGCAACUGCAAUUAUGGGCUAUAACUUCCUAAUGCAAAACCAUGUUAAACCCACGGCCACAAUAUUCUGAAAUUUGAAUGAGAUUUAUCAGUUGUUUGCUGAGUUCUUGCAAUUGACUGAGUCUAUGCGAUUUUAAUGAAACAUGUUAAAUUGGCAACAUGUCGAUUUGAUAUAUUUCCACGAGAUCUCCAUUUACUAUGAAUGUGAACAUGACUUGUCAAGUAUUCACAUAGUUAUUGCCCUUAUGAUAGAUCAUGUUAUUACAUUCAUUCUACAAAUAUAUCCAAGCAGUUGUUUUUACUGUGAAAAGCCAACAUCCCAUUUCCGAAAAUUAAAAGUUUUUGAUCAUAUUGAUCUUUAUUUUUAUUUUAUUUUUUUCGAGAAAAUUGUUGGCAACAUUAUAGCUAAUUCGGGAUCUCUUUUUUGUUAAGUUUUUUUUUUAAAACUGGUUAUUAUUUUUUGUUGAAUUAAUUUUGCAUUUAGAUAUUUAUCUAUUUUGACUACGUUAUUACAGUUACAGUGUCAUAUUCUCUAUUUCCAUACGUAUAUAUAGAGAUAUGAUUAUUUUGGAAAGACACGGCCUCUGUGAUUUGAUUGAAAAAAUGAAAGUGUGGUUUGACUGAAUUUGAAGGUUUUGGUCAACCACCUUUUCGCCCUAAUCAGAGAGGCCUUGUUCUGUUAAAUUAUAUUUUAUAGAUCUGUCCAUAUUGUGAUUAUUUAUUAGUCCUGUUGGGGCAGAAAAGAAGAUUGAUGAACCUCAUUUCAUUCAUUCAAUUUUGAUUUUCACUGAACUACUACAUGUACAAAAUAUGAGGGCCACUUACAUGUUCAAUUUGAAUUUCUAUCCUAUUAUUAUAUAAUGAAAAAGAAAUAACUAUCAAUAGUGUUUAAAAGGAAUGGUAUGUUGUUAAUUCCGGCAAAUAUAACCUUUUAGCUCGUGGACAGUAGUUGCUUUCUAUCUGUACAUUUUUUAGAUUAUCUGUGUAAUCAUUCAAUUGUGAUAAAGAUUCCAUUUAAAAUAUC